AUUGAACGCUGGCGGCAUGCCUUACACAUGCAAGUCGAACGGUAACAGGUCUUCGGAUGCUGACGAGUGGCGAACGGGUGAGUAAUACAUCGGAACGUGCCUAGUAGUGGGGGAUAACUACUCGAAAGAGUGGCUAAUACCGCAUGAGAUCUACGGAUGAAAGCAGGGGAACGCAAGACCUUGUGCUAACAGAACGGCCGAUGGCAGAUUAGGUAGUUGGUGGGAUAAAAGCUUACCAAGCCGACGAUCUGUAGCUGGUCUGAGAGGACGAUCAGCCACACUGGGACUGAGACACGGCCCAGACUCCUACGGGAGGCAGCAGUGGGGAAUUUUGGACAAUGGGCGAAAGCCUGAUCCAGCAAUGCCGCGUGCAGGAUGAAGGCCUUCGGGUUGUAAACUGCUUUUGUACGGAACGAAAAGCCCCGGGUUAAUACCCUGGGGUCAUGACGGUACCGUAAGAAUAAGCACCGGCUAACUACGUGCCAGCCGCCGCGGUAA
rnacentral:rRNA from 1 species